GGCUCAGGAUGAACGCUAGCGGCAGGCCUAAUACAUGCAAGUCGCACGGCACGGGGGGCGACCCCCGGAGAGUGGCGCACGGGUGCGUAACGCGUAUGCGACCUACCAACCGCACGGGGACAGCCCGGCGAAAGCCGGAUUAAUACCCGAUGGCCCCGUUUUCCCGCAUGGGAUUACGGGUAAAGCAGCGAUGCGGCGGUUGACGGGCAUGCGUCCGAUUAGCUAGUUGGGGCGGUAACGGCGCACCAAGGCGACGAUCGGUAGGGGUUCUGAGAGGAAGGUCCCCCACACUGGCACUGAGACACGGGCCAGACUCCUAUGGGAGGCAGCAGUAGGGAAUAUUGGGCAAUGGGCGGAAGCCUGACCCAGCCAUGCCGCGUGAAGGAUGAAGGCCCUCGGGUCGUAAACUUCUUUUGCACGGGGGCAAACGCGGUACUCGUACCGUUCUGAGCGUACCGUGCGAAUAAGCACCGGCUAACUCCGUGCCAGCAGCCGCGGUAAUACGGAGGGUGCGAGCGUUGUCCGGAAUCACUGGGUUUAAAGGGUACGUAGGCGGCCCAUUAAGUCAGCGGUUAAAGACCCCGGCCCAACCGGGGGGUUGCCGGUGAUACUGGUGGGCUUGAGUGCCGUAGGGGCAGGCGGAAUUUGUGGUGUAGCGGUGAAAUGCAUAGAUACCACAAGGAACCCCGAAAGCGAAGGCAGCCUGCCGGGCGGCCACUGACGCUGAUGUACGAAAGCGUGGGGAUCAAACAGGAUUAGAUACCCUGGUAGUCCACGCCGUAAACGAUGGUCACUAGAUGUCGGCCCGCCGGGGCCGGUGUCCAAGGGAAACCGAUAAGUGACCCACCUGGGGAGUACGCCCGCAAGGGUGAAACUC
rnacentral:rRNA from 1 species